GGCGAGGUAGCUCAGAUGGUUAGAGCGGUGGAUUCAUAACCCACAGGUCGGGAGUUCGAUUCUCCCCUUCGCCACCA
rnacentral:tRNA from 1 species